rnacentral:rRNA from 1 species
UACGGAAGGCAGCAGUGGGGAAUAUUGCACAAUGGGCGCAAGCCUGAUGCAGCCAUGCCGCGUGUAUGAAGAAGGCCUUCGGGUUGUAAAGUACUUUCAGUCGUGAGGAAGGUGUUAAGGUUAAUAACCUUAGCAAUUGACGUUAGCGACAGAAGAAGCACCGGCUAACUCCGUGCCAGCAGCCGCGGUAAUACGGAGGGUGCGAGCGUUAAUCGGAAUUACUGGGCGUAAAGGGCACGCAGGCGGUUAAUUAAGUUGGAUGUGAAAUCCCCGGGCUUAACCUGGGAAUGGCAUUCAAGACUGGUUAGCUAGAGUCUUGUAGAGGGGGUAGAAUUCCAUGUGUAGCGGUGAAAUGCGUAGAGAUGUGGAGGAAUACCGGUGGCGAAGGCGGCCCCUGGGACAAAGACUGACGCUCAUGUGCGGAAGCGUGGGGAGCGAAACAGGAUUAGAUACC